rnacentral:tRNA from 1 species
GGGGUUGUGGCUCAGUGGUAGAGCACUCGCCUCGAAUGUGGAGGGCACUGGGUUCAAUCCUCAGCACCA